rnacentral:lncRNA from 1 species
UUACAUUUGCUAAUAACUCUAUAAUAGUCCAUCAGGGUCUAAAUAGCCUUUUCCCUUUUAAGUCGGUUCCCUUUUCUGUUAUCACGCCGAAGCUCCCCUACGUAUAGCUUCGGCUCUGCGCCAUCUUUCGUAUUCUUUGUGCUUCUUCACACUGUAGUUUUGUCCUAAGUCCAAAGGUACCUGUUCAUGUAUCAUACUUCAGAAACAUUGUUAAAUCAUAUUUUUGAGGACCUUCAGAAGUCGAAGGCCCCCAACAGGUAGUAUCUGGCCAUUCCAAUGGAACUCUUGAUUCCAUGAACAUCUUUUGGUGCUUUCCAGUUCAGAAAGUCUGCUACCUUCUUUGGAUCCACAGCUAACGCAUUUCAGUUUAUGAUAUGAACCAAGAAUAGGACUUCAUGAAUCCAGAACUCACAGUUACUCAUCUUAGCAUAUAACUGUGACACCCGGAUUUAAGGGGUAAACCCGGGCGCAAAUCAAAUGUGUGCUGGGAUCAAGUCUCACACAUAUGAUGACUUCAUGGUAUGGAAACAAAUGUCACAUCUUUAAUAUAUAAUGGAGUUCUGUACAAAAUAGUUAAAUAAUUAUAUCAUGCGAAGACAAUGAUUCAGCAACCAAAGUUGACUAGGAGACGACGACUUAGACCUCUCAUGAACUCAUCGUGACAUCCUUCACGCUCCUCAUCUUGUAGUACCUAUCCUUGACUUGGGGGGACAUGAGUACAUCAAGGGUGAGCUCACAUACGUUCAUCGCUCAACAAGUUAUGGGGAAUAAUGUGCAUGAGCUCACUUACAGUGGGGCUCAUGUGAAGUGUAAGGUUUACCCAAGGAGAUGGUGGAAGUUGAGAAUUGCUUUUAGAGUUGGUCAAAAAUUUAUUAGCAGUUACUAGGUAUAAGUAGAUACCAACCCAAAUAAAUAAGAGAUCACAAUUAAUAAUAUUACCCACAAUGCAAUGUAUAUGACAGAUUGAGUUUAGUUCCAUAAAUUAAUCAUGUGAGAGUCCUGAGUUGCUCUUAACAGUGAGCACGACAGAUAUACCAGUUUUACACUCUGUAGAGGUUGCGUAUCUUUACCCACAAGUCAUGUUACCCAUUUGCCACGGGGUUGUAUGGACCCCAUACACCUCUACAAAGGAAGCGAGGCAGGGUAGCACUACGAGACCUUUCCAAAGUAACACUAGUUCGAGAAAACCCACUAUGGAUUCAGGAAGAAGGAAGCAUAGCAAUCCCUCGUCUGAAAUGCCAUCGUAGGAGUUCGACAAGAGAACCUCCCUAUACUCUGCAGCGACGCCUCUCCACUUGCCCCUUUUGGGUAAGGUAAUCUCUCCCUAGCUUUCCUAAUUAGUUGGCCAAGGGCAUCCCAUUCCACCCUUGUGGUAGCACUGUUAUCUCAAGUUAAGCUCCAUGUUCCGAUUAACAGAAUGGUCCUUUCAUGAACAAUAAUUAAAUCAACAGCAAAAUUGGAACAUGAUCAUAAUAUAACAUUUAAUUUCCCAAAACCAGGUAAAGCGAUAGCAAAUCUACCCAAUAAUUUAUUCGUUUGCAAGGUGUGGGAUAAACAAUACUAGGGAAACCUAUUAGGUCCCAUCAAAUUAACCUAAGCAUGUCACAGUGAUUAACAGGAACAUUAUUAUGUAAAGAAGAGUGAUCAAGGACACAACUUGUCUUAGACUUGAGAUUCCCAGGUACUUCCCAAUUUAGUCUUCAGGUGACUCGUGACCUCACUGCUACUCGUAGCAAUACAUAUAGAUAGACAAGGAGUACAUAAAUAAAACAGUACACUAACACAUGAGAACAAACAAUGUAAGAAUAUUCUACACAUUGUAACGAGAUCACAGGUUCGAGAACCACUAAAUUUAGAGUUACGGAUAAAGAGUUAUGAUUUUCUGAAGAUGUAAGUGUUAGAUAUAAAACAAAUUAAGUGCAUAAAUUUAACCUAUGUUUCAUAACAAAAUAAGGUUACUAAAUGAUAAAAAAUAUUAAUAUGAAUUUAAUGCAACUGGAAUGGAUCAAAAAGGAGUUAAGAUGAAUUAAUUAUGAAUUAAAUAAGAUUCUAGAUUUAUUUCUAUACUAGAAAACAUUUUCUGAAUUAAUUUAUUCCAUUUAUUCACUUCCUGAGCUGCGGCUAGGAUUUUCUAAUAGCUCAGGGUCCAUUUUGUAAAUUCCAGGACCUAGUCAUAAUUUCUUUUGAACUAAUCUGGACAGCGGAUUAAUUCACCAAAACCCGAGGGCUCCUAUGCUAAAUUGUUCAGUCGAUGGGGUAUGUGCUGUUUCUGGCCAUGCAAUCUUGCAUCAAGGCCUCAAGGGCUACGGUUAGACUUAACUCCACGCGAACCGGUAUCUGCUGCUGGACGCGCAUCCUGUGAUCUAUGACACAUAUUUUAAAUCCCUGAGAUCUAUUCACGUUCGUUCGAUAUCGAAUCGGCGUCCAGCACUCACCCUGGCCGAACAGGUUAACUCCACCAAAUCCUAGUCGUUCAUCCGACAACUGACGACUGAAGUUCAUCUUCCUCCUCACGACCGAGGGAGGGGCACCUCCCUGUUCCCCAUGGCGGCCAUACGCCGGCGCAGCACCCCACCGAGCACCAAUGCUCCAUUUCCCGUGGUAAGGCCUACGCAGAGCGGACAUGAAAGCAAAAUUAUGGGUGCCGAAUCUCACCGGAGAUUAUGUAGCAGAGGCCGUCACCCAUGGCGAGAUGCCGAUCCGGCGGCAGCGUGCCAGCCCCAGCGCGCAAUCGUGGAGGCAUCAAGGGCAAUCACAACGUGAUGAAGCCACGACAAGCAUGCCCACGCACCGGCGAUCAUCCAUGACCCUAUCGAGUACAGCGAAGGAUGGUGGUGGCGCGGCACUGUGGCAGCGACAAUCUUUUCUCU